GUUUAUUUAUUGAGCACAAAUUUUUCUUGAGUUUUAUUAAGCAACACCAGCUUUCCAAAAAAGGUUAUGGUAGUGAUAAUAUAACAAAAGCUAUCAGACGUACGCUGCACAAUUUUAUUGGUGGGAUUGAUGUACGGGUACAAGACUACUUUUCACUCGAUGAGGACGACAAAAUCCGUGUCUCUGCUAAACUCUACGCCACUGUUUUCAACGUGCAAAGUGCCCAAGAGAUCAAAGAAAAAAUCGCCAAGGAUUUUCUAGACAAGGCAAAUAAAGAUGAUGGCUACUUCAAGGACCAAAAUGUUGAUCUAAGUACCGUAUUUCUUGCAGAUUCAGAUAAACCGCACUGCCUCUAUGAAGUUACCAAGCAUUCAGACGUUGAGCUGAUUUGGAAAGACGCCUAUGUCGGCGAAAUUCGGACUCAACCGAAUCAUGCAGUCAACGGUCGUGUAACUAAACACACCAG